rnacentral:rRNA from 1 species
AGUGAACGCUGGCGGUAUGCCUAACACAUGCAAGUCGAACGGCAGCACAGUAAGAGCUUGCUCUUACGGGUGGCGAGUGGCGGACGGGUGAGGAAUACAUCGGAAUCUACUUUUUCGUGGGGGAUAACGUAGGGAAACUUACGCUAAUACCGCAUACGACCUACGGGUGUAAGUAGGGGAUCUUCGGACCUUGCGCGAUUGAAUGAGCCGAUGUCGGAUUAGCUAGUUGGCGGGGUAAAGGCCCACCAAGGCGACGAUCCGUAGCUGGUCUGAGAGGAUGAUCAGCCACACGGGAACUGAGACACGGUCCAGACACCUACGGGAGGCAGCAGUGGGGAAUAUUGGACAAUGGGCGCAAGCCUGAUACAGCCAUACCGCGUGGGUGAAGAAGGCCUUCGGGUUGUAAAGCCAUUUUGUUGGGAAAGAAAAGCAGCAGGUUAAUACCCCGCUGUUAUGACGGUACCGAAAGAAUAAGCACCGGCUAACUUCGUG